GCUCUACACCCGAAGUAGGGCUAGAACCCACAACACCCAAGAUGAAGUCACACACUCCACCUACUGAGCCAACCAAGCACCCUAACUUUUUUCUUUACUGAGUUGAGCCUAUGAGAGUGUUGGAAGUGUCUUGCUCUCCUCUUUUCAAAAAAAAAUUUUUUUCUUCUGAAAAUUCUUAAAUUAUAAUUUUCUUAUCUAAUUUCCAAUCAUUAAUCCAUUUGGAAUUAAUCAUUAUACAUGUCUUGAGAUGGAAGAAUCUGGUUUUUUCUUUAUCCAAAUGGAGAAAUCGGGGGAGCUGAGAAGAUGGCGGAGGAGUGGAGUCCCCAAGUAACCUGGACCCACCAACCUACUGGGAUAACUUUCAAAGCAUCCUGAAAACCUAGGAAUUCGACCUGAGAUCUAAAGAGAGAACAGCUGGACCGCUACAGAGAGAAGGCUUUGCUUCUAACCAGCCAUUUGCUUCUAACAAAGUCCUUAUUAUGAUCAAGAGCAUCUUGUGACCAGAGGCCUUGAGUGGUUCAAGGAAAAGCAGAAGUAUUUGGAUGUACUACUCAGGAAACUCAAUUCCCGUGGUGCUCAAUGGAACUUUUGACAAUUUAAUGAAGAAACCUUGAGAGUGCAGAGGGUACCUUAGGCACAGGUCAAUCCUGGGUCUUCUGUAACAGAAGAUAGCCAAACAAGCCAGCUAUCCACGCAUGAGUUCCACAGAGCCUCUAGCUCUCCAGACCUAUGAAAGCUAAAGAUGAAGGAAUCAG